UACGUAGGGUGCAAGCGUUGUCCGGAAUUAUUGGGCGUAAAGAGCUUGUAGGCGGUUUGUCGCGUCUGCUGUGAAAUUUCGGGGCUCAACCCCGAGCUUGCAGUGGGUACGGGCAGACUAGAGUGUGGUAGGGGAGACUGGAAUUCCUGGUGUAGCGGUGGAAUGCGCAGAUAUCAGGAGGAACACCGGUGGCGAAGGCGGGUCUCUGGGCAGUAACUGACGCUGAGGAGCGAAAGCGUGGGGAGCGAACAGG
rnacentral:rRNA from 1 species